ACGAAGUUAAGAAACACAGUAGGGAACAAUAAUAAGAAUUAAGAAACAUAGUAGAUGAAGUUAAAUUCAUUAUAACAUUAAAUUUUUCAAUAACAAAAUUAGAUUGGUCAACAUGGCACUCACACAUUUCUCUUUCAAUAUCCAUUUUGUGUUUUUUGUUUGAGGUUUUCAUUGGGUGUUUUUUGUUUUAGGUUUUGAAAAUUAAGCCUAUCUUCUUCCAAUAUCUUAUUAUUAUUGCAUCUCUUAUCGCAAUGGUUGAAUAUUAUUAUCGAAGUUUUAAAAACAAAAAUAAGUUUUUAAAAUCUACUUUAUUUAGUUUUCAAAAUUUGGCUUGAUUUUUAAACGAUUGGAAAAAGUUGAUAACAAAGCAAGAAGUUUGGAGGUAAAAUUGUUAUACAGGCUUAUUUAUGAUAGAAAACUAACCACUUCUCUUUUUUUUUAACUGUUUGAGGAAUCAACUUGCAUAAAACGAAUUGUUUACCUUGAACAAGGUAAUUUUAAUUCAUCUCAUCGUUAACCUUGAAAACUGUUAAAACUAACUUAAAAACUAAAAAAAACUAAAAACAAUGAUACCAAUCAAUCUGUUUUCUUAAAAGUCGUUUUUUUUCUUAAUGUAUUUGAUAUUUUUUUGUAAUCUAAAGGGUAAAAUAUAAUUUCACUCCUAAAAUAAAUUCACUACCUUUUAGAAUAAUGCAUGUAAAAAAUACCUAGUUGCUAAAUCCCAACCAGACAAAGAAGCAGCAGUGGUCAAAGCUUCCUUCCAUGGUUGAACCUUGUUGGUCAUUAACUCAUUAGCUUCAUGUUUGGCCAAUGCUUCACCAAACCCACCAGUUUGUUUUCGAACCUCAGAUGGAUCCACCUUGUUAAGAAAUUAAUCAACAAAUUAAUAAAGAUAAACCCGUAAAGCAAUGGAGACUAUGAUACAGAUUUAUAUGAUUUAUUAUCAGUGGUGGCUAACUCCACAGGUAGAGGGAGGGAGCAAUUUUAUUAGAAAGAAAAUUCAUAUUACACAUCAAAUGUGCUUCUAUGGUUGGAGUGUUAGUGGGCUUCUCUAAAACGUUAGGGUCAAAAUCAUAGAUAACAUAACUAUAUAAAAAAUACGAAUUCAGAUAGUCCAACAAAUUAAACCUUGUAGAAGACAGGAAAAACUAUAUGUCCCAUGGAUUUCAUGCACUGAACUAUUUUCACCAGUUCAUCCAAACACCAGGUGGAAGAUGCAUAAUUUUUGGAGAAAAUAAUGAUGGAAAUUUUAGAACCAUCAAUAGAUUUGAGAAGGGAUUCAGAAAUUUGACCACCCCUCUCUAGCUUGUCAUCUAUGAAGAAAUUGACACCCUUUUCACGCAAGGCCCUGUCAAGAUGACUAGUGAAGUUGUUUCGAGUAUCCUCACCUCUGAAACUCAAAAACACAUCAUAACUCCAUUUCAAAUUUGAAGAACAAGACGAUGAUGAUUGUGCUAAACCAACCAAAGAAGAACCCAUCCGAAUUUUGAAAAUCCUGAAGUAAGAAUCCAGCCAAGGGAUGAGAAUGAAGAACAAAAUGGUUGUUUCUUUUCCCAGUGAACAAAUAAAUUACAAUAAUUUAUGCAAGUUAAAUUAUUAAAUUUUAAGCAAUUUGCAUCUAUUGCAGCACAAGGUUUAACCAACUAGUAUACAUAUAUGUUCAAGUCCACCUUUUCCAUGUUAAAAAAAAAAAAACGGUCAACUAUUUGUAUCUAUACUUUCUAUUUUUAACAUUUAAAAACUCAGAAGCAUCAACGUCAAGUUCGCUUAGAAGUUAGAACAUUUCCACUUUAUGUUCAAAUACUUCCUUCUUCUACAAGAUAUAUAUAUACAAAUAUAAUGAUAAUAAAAAGUUCUAUCUACAAAUAACAUAAAAUAAUAUUUUGUCUAACUAGACCACCAUAAAAUUAAUAAAUAAGAAGUGACAAAUUCAUUAGUUUUUCAACUAACAGAAAUAUCUAUGGAAAUUGUUUUGGGUCUUCAAGUUUAUCAUAACCUAAUUAUUUCUCUGACAUGUUCCCUUCAGGAUACAACAAGAAAAGUUGUGUAACUCAAACCAAUUUUCACUUAAAGAUCGUAUUUACCUUGGCCAAUUUGCUUUUAAAGAGAGAUAAUGAGAGAAAAAAAGAGGAAGAUGUAUUUAUAUAAUACUAAUCUUUGUUAGUGUAAAAUUGCGAGAAUAUGGUAUGUGAUGUAUUGAUAGUACUCAUCUUUGGAUAUUGAAUAUUUAAUUCAAAGCUAGGUAAUAAAUGUAUACUUGUUUAACAUUUCUUGAAAUUGCAUUUUUUUUCAACUUUUUAACGAAGAAACACGUACUAGAUUACAUAUGGAAGAGAAGUUUGCGAAAAAUAAGUCACGAUUAAUUAAUUGACGGCUUAAGUUAAAGCUCAUAGUCAAUAAUUGGAGUAACAGCAUGAGAAAAGACAAAAUAGAACACUAGCACGUUGGUAACCUAGUUGGAUGACACAUCAUCUACAUUUAAUUAGGAGAUUUUUAGCCUGAUUUAAAAUAUCAUUUUAUAAAUAUUAAAGAGGAUCAUAAGUACAUAACUUAUCCAAGAACCAACUAUCUUGAAUCAUAUAUGACUUUUACAAGAUAAACGUUUAUGUUUGCCCUAAACCACUUGAUGUGUGAACAAGGAAUUCGAUCUAGACUCCUCUAGAUCAUAUGUUGCAUGCAUCAUCCUUGCAUCUCAAUGUGCAGGCUCCCCUGUGAAAUGCCACAAACAAAGUGUUCAACAUCACACACCACAGAAACGGGGUACUUAGUGAAAAACUUUCUCAACACAUAAUUUUGCUGCACAUUUGUUACACCUCUAUCUUCAACCACAUGCAGCAAACAUCACACGGCCACAAUCUUAUAUUUUUUAGGUAACACGUCAUAACAAAACAAAUGCCCAACUCUAUUAAUUUAUUAAUAAAUAUUAACCAACUUAAAAAAGUAUAUAGUAACAACCACAACCAACGGAAUAUCUUUAUUAAUAAUAUAAUAUUAGUCAUAUAUUUAUUAAAAAAUAUUAGCAAACAUAACAAUCAAAUCUUCAAAGUCAACGAGAUAUCUUUAUUAAUAAAUAUUAUCCGUAUAUUUAUUAAUAAAUAUUAACCAUAUAUAUUAAGAAAUUAAGCUCCAAUUUUUCCUACCUCAGUUACAAAGUUAAAGCUGAAAUGGGUGAUUCCUAAACAUUGUAAAUAUGAAAAUCACAACCUAAAUCUUUAACAAAUCUAACUCCUUUACUCCUCAAUUCAAUUAGAAUCAUUGUUGUCAUUAUUAUCACUAGGAGUAGAGGAACCAAACUUAGAAGUUCGUUCGUGAAGGACGACUGGGCACGAAGGGCAGCACGAAGACACACACAAUUUGCUCGGCAGUGGUGGUUCGAUGAUGGAAGAGAGUGAUUAAGAAGAGAGGGUUUGGGUGAGAAGUUUAGAGUGAGAUGAGAUGAGAGGGAAGAAGAGUGAGUAAAGUGAUUAGAAGAGAAUUAAUUUUUUUAAAAAAAGAUUAAGGAUAGUUUUAAUGUCAGUUUUAAACCGACAUUAAUUCUUCCUUUUUGAUGUUGGUUUAAAAUCGACAUUAAACAUUUGCAUUUUUAAAAUCUGAUAUUAAACAUCUGUUUUCAUUUUUUUCAACUGACAUCAUAGGGCAAAUUUCUUCUAGUGAUACCAAUUUUAAUUCUAACUUCCCUAAGCAGGUGUUUGCGGCGAGGAGUGACUUGUAAUAGUUCUGAGAAUUAUAAUAAUUUGAGUAUUAUAGUAGUCUGCAUUUAGGAUACAGACUAUUAUAGUCUGCGUUUCAGGUGCAACCUAUUAUAGUUUGUGUUUGUGGUGAAGAUUAUUAUAAUUAUUUGUAUAAUUAUAAGCUGUGUUUAGGGUGGAGACUAUUAUAACUUGGGUUUUUUGCUACUUUUUUUUUCUUCCUUAAAUUGAUUUUAUUAAAUCUUUUUAAUUAUGAUAUUCAUUUAAUAAAUUUAGCCUCAAUCUUGAUUUUUCAUUACUUUUGUUUUCUACAUGUAUACUCUACAUGAAAUACACAUUUUUCUUAAAUUAACUUUAUUAAAUCUUUUUAACGUGUGAUAUUCAUUUCAUAAGUUUAGCCUCAAUCUUGAUUUUUCAUUACUCUUUUUUUUCUACAUACAUAUUGUACAUGAAAUACAUGCACGAAGGAGUGAGAGGGGAAGUGAGAAGAAUUAGGGGAGGGAAAUACGAGGAUUAUGGAAACCCUAAUACUAGAAUUUCCAUAAUUCGGGUCUCAAACAAGGAGUGAGUUAUUUUAGCCAACUCUACUCCAUGCAAAUAUGUGGCCCUAAUAAUUUCCUCAUAUCUUUACAUUAUGGGUAAUUAUAAUUUGUGACAAUUUUAGGAAUAAUAAUUAAAUAUCUAGCAACAUUUUUUUAAAAAAUUGCAUAUAUGGCAAAAUCUAUUAAUGAUAGACCAAUAUUUGCUACAUGAUCUAACAGAUGUUGCUAUAUUUACAAAUACCAACUCAAAACGCUCAUCCCUACUCUACCUCACUCUAAUACCCACCCUAAAUGUCUCAUAAGAAUUUAGAAAGUGUUCAUAUGAGUUAAUAACAAGAUGUAUAUAGAAAAUGUUCAUAGUAAGUGAGAGAAGGAUGUGUGUCAAUGUGUCAUACAAUCUUCUCUAUCUAGAGAUGUUUAAAAAAACCCAUGGGGUUGGGGUCCCGCCAGGUGCCAGCUCGAAAGAGGUGGGGAUUUCCUAUUUACAUAGGAAAUAGGGGAGGGAGUAGGGAAUGUUUUCCCCAUUUUCAAUUCGAGACCAAGGAUAGAGAUUAUAUUCCCCAUCUAUAAGACCCAAACUUAAAUUAAAAGUUAAAAGACAAAAUUUUGACUAAGUAUGUAACUUGACCUUUUGGAUAAGAAGGCGUUUUAGUUUGAGAAAAGCACUCACAAAACUUUACAAAAGAAGUUCUUCUUCUUCUCACAAGCCCCUUCUCGUGUAGCUAAACUAGCAAUACUUCAACAUUUCAACAAAACUUCCAUCUUCCCCUCCUUAGUUGCCCAAAUCCUCUUAUUUAUAGAACCCUUAAACUAACUUAGUCAUUUAUAAACUCUUCUCAGUUCAUUAACUCCUGCUUAAAAAUUUACAUGUAUAAAUUUAGUAUUCAACCUAGCCAUGCUUAAAUUCUUAAUCUUACAUAAUCCCUGUCAAAUCAAAUUUUACAUUUUCUACGCCAGACCUUGCUUCUCGCCAAACUCGAACCGCGAAUAACUUCAACCACUUAACAUUUCUCGUGAAUAACCUUAUCGCAUGGUUAUAUUUUUACUAUAAGAAACCUUCUUGCAAACUAACCAACUUUUACUCGCAUGGAACUCUUAUCGCGAACUUAAACUCUAAGGCUUUCUUGCAAACUUCUUCUCCACGAAACACUUGGUUCUUCUCGUGAAGACCACCCAAAAUGCCUAGUCUAACACUUUGUCAAAACUUUUACUUCUUAACUUACGCGAAUAUUUUUUCUCUUCUUAUCACACAACUUCUUUCGCGAACUACGCACUUAAUCGCAAAAACGUAUACUUAUCCAUAAAAGAUUCUAUCGCUUAAUCCUUUUCGCAAAUUUAUUCAAACGCCAACUUCUUAAUAGUACUUUAGCCGAAUUUUACUUUCUUACUCAAAUUAGAAAUGGGUCUCACAAGUGGAAUGAUUUGAAGUUAACGAAUGUUCAUUAGCUCGGUUUAAAGAGUUUAGCUAGUUAAUCUUGGAUCGUUGGAGUCCAUGAUCUAUAAGUCCAUUAGGAUCCCCUACUAGCUCAUAUGGAAUAUACUUAUAAUAGUAUAUAAGAUUAAUUCAAAUUAUUUGAAUUAAGAAAGGAGAGUAAAAUCGAGUAUAUAUGGUAUAGUUGUUGGUUCGUUUAAGUGAAUAUUUAACUAAUUAGUGGAUUUGAGUGUUGGUCGAAUUCGGUAUUUUGGUUUUAGACACCUUAUUUAAAGUUAUGUCUCAUUUGUUUAUCUUUAUUUCUUUAAAGAAUUGUCAGAACCCGCGAGUCACAUUUUCAAAUUAUUUUUAUUGAUUUUGUCAAUUUUAUGUUUUCAAAUAUUUAUUAAUAUUAAUUUUAGAAAAAAUUUAGUUUUUCCCUUUUCAAGAAAGUGUAUUUUGAUAUUUAUUGUUUGAGUAAUAACCUUAGCUUAGUUUAAAAAUUUGGAUUGUUACACCUAGCUCACUAACAUAUAAUGUUUAAUGAGGUGUUGGAGUUUGGUGAAUAAUUACAUACAAUUGUUAUAUGUAAUUUCUUUUUUUAAGGUGGGCAUUUUCAAAUGUUUAAAAAAGUUUUUGAUAAUUUUGUCUAUUUCCCCCUUAAUAUUCAUCAAAAGAAAAAAAAAAAACACCAAAUCUCUUAGAAGCUUAUAUUAUCCUCCUCUUUUCAUCUCUCUCUCAUUUUAAUCCUUCACUCAUCGGGUCCCAUAGCCCGAUUCUAAGUCUAGAAGAUAGUCGGUAUACUCUAGUGGCAGGUUGGUGUCGAUUUCGUACAAAAUCCACAAAUAAUAAAAAACAACAAAGGUAUAAUUUUUAUUAACCCUAGUUAAGUAAAUUAGGGUUCUUGGACAUUGAUUCUUAUUAAUUUAGAUGCAAUUAUAGUGUAAUUAUAUCUAUUUUCCGCUGAGUAUGUCUAGACUUCUAUUAUUUUGUGGCGAGUGGUUGAACUUGAACGCCUAGUCCCUCAAAUGGGCUCUUAGUAAAGUUUUUUUCACCUCAAAGUUAUUCUUUCCUCAAGUCCUAAGUUGGCUAACUCUUCACACACACUUCCUUAGUUCUUUUACCUAGUACAAAGCACACGUAAUGACCCAACUCUUUAUACUGAGCUAAAGUCAUUACCAAUAAAACAAAUAAAACUUUUUUAUUUAAAAUAAAAGAAAAUACUAAGUUUUAAAAGAAACACUUCAAAUAUUAAAUCAUAAAAUAUAAGUAAAGUAUGUAAAGAAAAUAAUAAAUGAAACAUUAGUUCGGGCCCUAUUUAAUUUUUUUUAAAAAAAAAUCUCUAAAAGUAAACAUGAGUUCUGAAAAAUAAAUACUGAAAACAAUAAAUGCAGAACAAAACUUAUAAUGUCCUCUAUGGCAAACCACAGUCACUUCUUGUCAUUCUUCAUCUUGUCUUUACCUUUAUCUUUGCAUGAAAAAUUUAACCAUAGAAAAGAAUUAAUAUAAAUUUAUACUCAGUAAGGAACCCACUAUUAGUCUCGCUACGUGUCUAUUAACUUUUCGUUAGAGUCCUGUAAGAAAGUACCGCAUAACUAUUGUGCAUGCUAUCUAGUGAUCCCGUAGGAAAACAUCUGGGCUCUCAGUGAAUCACGAAUGAAUCACCCUAAAGGAGAGUUGGAUUGUAAGUGAUCCCGUCGAAUCACACAUAAAAGUUGGCCACACAUGCAUAAAUAUGUGGUGAUCUCGAGGGACACCCAUAUGAUACGACUCUAACAGACAAAGCUAACAGAACACCAUAGCCUCAUGUAUAUUAUAACAUAAAUAUUACAGCUCAGUCAACAUAUUUCAAUCAUAGCAUGUCUCAUUCAUAAUGUAUCUUGGUCAAAUCAUAUCUCAGUCAUACAUAACAGUCAUCUAUGUAGCCACUCAUAACAAUCAUCUCUAAUACCCAUAUUAUGCAUCUUAGCUACAUUAAUGCAUAAUAAGAAAUAUACAUGCAAGCAGGUGAAUGUAUAAUAGAAUAAUCUCUUACCUAGAGAUUAGCUAAAAAAAAUAUUGUCCCUUCCUAAACACAACAAAAUUAAAUUUAUUAAUUUUGUCAAUAUCACCCAACUACUUAUACUUAAUCAUUCAAACUUAUCCAACUUACCAAAGCUAAGGUUGAAACCGACACAACUUUGAGUGUAAAUUUCGUCGCCUUAAAUCCUCAAAUUAACACUUGAACCUUCACGUAAAAAUAACUCAACUCAUUCCCAACGAAAACUUACCAAACCCAACAAAACUUACCUAAAAGACUCAAGUAGGAUGAAAUGGUUGACUUAAAGAGGGCAGCUCGCGAUUGGAAGAGAGUGGAAGCUGGAGGAUGGUUCACGCGGCUAAAAGACGGCUCGAAAUGGAAGGUGGUCAACUUAGACGACUACGACUUGUGAAGGAGGAACGCACGACUCGGACUUGAAGAGGCUUUGGCCGGAGAGGUAACACAGACGAGAAGACGACACGACUGGAGAAGAUCAGCUCGAACAGAAAAGCUUUGGCUCGCGUACAAAGGGUGUUCCAAUCAACGAUGAGCGCAUACAUUUCAGCUUCUCCGUCCGAUGUGCAUAAAAAUAUUUAUGCGUCAGGGCAAAUAUGUCGGGAGAGGAACUCCCAACUCACAACUUGUUGUGCGUCGGAAAUUCCUAAACCCAACAUUGUAUGAACGUCAAAGAUGUUGUCAAUAUAGUGUAGGAAGUUCCUACGAACUCCCGACGCAAAUGUGUAGGAACUCCCAACACAAAUGUGUGGAAACUCCCGACGUAAAUGUGUAGGAUCUUCAUUUGCGUCAGGAGUUCUCUAUUUUUCUUUUUUUAAAAAAAUAUCUUCCAUCUCAAGUUCAACACUUGAAUCUCAAAUUCACCACUUCAAUCUUAACUUCAACACUUCAAUCUCAAAUUCACCACUUCAAUCUCAACUUCAACACUUCAAUCUCAAAUUCAACACUUCAAUCUCAACUUCAACACUUCAAAUUCAAAUUCCUAAAACCUACAAACUAAUCCAAAAAUUCUAACAACACUUCAAAUUCAGAUACAAUACUAAAACGUAUAACUAAUUCAAAAUCUAAAUACUAAAACUAAUUUGAAAUCUAAAACCUAAAACUUAAAACUAAUUUGAAAUCUAAAUACUAAAACUAAUUAACUAAAACAAAAGAAUAACUAAACUAAACCACUUACCGGAAUGAAGAGUGACGACGAGACGACGACGAAUGGUUGGACAAGGACAACGGCGACAAAUGCCCUCUUCUUCUCGAUCUCCCUCUCUCUCUCUCUCUCAGUUUUCUUUCUCUUUUCUGUUUCUAUUUUGUAAAGAAUUGAGUUAAAAAAGACGGUUAACUCCCGACACACAACGAAAACGUCAGGAAAUGGGCCCUUAUUCUCUACGCGAUUAGUGACACAUCGGGAAUCCCUAAACCUUAUUCUCGACGUUGUUGACACCACGUUGGAGGAAGACAUAACGUACAAUUAAUGAUAUGUCCUUCCUCCGACGCAACACUAUAGACGUCGGGAAUAGGUGCACAUUUCCCGAUGCACCUGGCACCACGUCAGAGGAAGGUCAAAUGGUACAAUUAAUUGUCCACCCUCUUUCGACGCUACACUUUCCAUGUUGGGAAUAGGGGUCCAUUUUUCGACGUACCUCAUACCACGUCGGAGGAACCUUAAACCAUUACGAUAGUUUCGAUGCUAAUAUGUCUGCGUCAAGGGAAAUACCCUUCCUCGACGUGCACUAAGAUGCACCGAAAAACACCUACUUCUACUGACGUCAUGUUUCUCGAUGAUUUUUUCUGCGUCGGAAAACAUCUAAUUUCUUGUAGUGAUAUCAUUCAUUUGAAACCAAAAGCAUGAAGUUUACAUUAGGGAAUUUAAAGAAUUCUUAUGCUAAAUUAGCCUAUUCAUAGGCUUCUUUGAAAUUUGUUUGUCACCACCUACUUAAUUAAGUUGAUGCUUAACCUUAGUUGGCUAUGUGUCCCCACUAAACCGACUUAAGAGGUUUAGCUCAACAUCUAGCCUACCAACUUACUUUGGUCGCCUUGUCCACGUCUUACACCAUUGGCCGCAUAGUCUCGUUUAAGUCAGCUAACCCUCAUGUGGCAUGACCCUUCCUCCUUCCAAAUUGGCCACCUAGUAAGCAUAUCCUCCUAACUUUAAUCUCUUUGAAGAUACUUAGCCUUGUGCCAUAGUCCUCACUUUGGUCUCCUAACUCACAUACUUAGGCCGCCUAAGAGAUACUUAGUCCCAGCACAACCUUCAUAGUAUGAUCACCUAACACUCCAAGGACCUAGCAUCUUCUUGGUCGUUCAACUUUGUUUUGGUUGCCCUUUGGCUAUUCACUUUGAAUGUCAUUAGCCAACAUCUUGACUACAUACUUAGCCAACUCUAUACUCUUGAUCACUCUUUGUUAACAAUACAUGUCAUCAACCUAUAUAUAUAUAUAUAUAUAUAUAUAUAUAUAUAUAUAUAUAUAUAUAUUUAUUUAUUUAUUUAUUUAUAUUUAUAUUUAUUAUUUUACCUUGCUAUGGAUGUUAACACAAUUUGUCUGUUCUAUUUUAUUUUAUUUGACACUUCUGAUUUGUUUCAAGAUUUUAAUUUUUUUUAAAAAAAUAAAAAUAGUAAAGGGUAGAAAAACCCGAAGGGAUGCGGGAGAUUUGUGUUUUGGAGGAAAAAGAGAAUAAACUUAGUUUUUAGUAAGGGUGUAAGAAUAUGAGUUGAACCCAAAUAACCCAGACUAUCCAACCCAUAUUAUAAGAGUUGGGUUAGGUUAGGUUAAAAAAUUUUGAUUUUUUUUUGGUCUGGUUGGGUCUCGGGUUGGAGGUUUGAAAAAUUCGGUUUAACCCAACCCAACCUGGUCUUUCUCCCAUCGCACGCGCCGCUCACCUUUCUUCACUAUCUUCAAUUCUUCUCUUCUAUCUCACCCCAGUCUUCGAUCUUCUCCCUCACAAUCGCGUCGUCCACCUCUGUUUCCGACGGUUGAUCAUCUCCCUCUUCGGUUUCCUCUCUCCCUCUUCGAUCUUCUCCCUUACAAUCGUGUCAUCCACCUCCAUUUCCCUAAACCCUAAAAAAAAAAGACAUAUAUCAAAUCCAACUCAUAUUUUACGGGUUAGGUUGAAAACUAAAUUCGGGUUGUCAACCCAUAUAACUCAAAAAUAUGGAUUGGGUUGAGAAUGUCUCCCAACCCAACCUAACCCGAUUACAUCCCUAGUUUUUAGAUUUAUAUGAUAAAUGUGAUGAUAAUGUUCCUAUAUUUGCAUAAAAAGUUUAUAAAAUAAAUUAAUAAGAAUUCAUGAUUAUUUAUCAAUCUUAGUAAUACAAUGGAUCUAGAUCCAAAUCAUUCAAAUAUAGAAAUACAUCUUAACCAAUUAAGAGGAUUCUAACAACAUGGAUAGAAGUAAAGUAAGACUUUUUUUUUUUUUUUUUAAAUUUAAAAAAAUUUAGAAAGCAACGUAAAGCCAAAAUACGAUUUUAAUUUCUACUUUUUUAUAAUUGACUGACCGGUUGUUUUGGUGUCCAGAUAGAGAAAUUCGACUAAACUCAACCUGGUUUAAUAUAUAUACUUCUUAGGGUUUUGACAUUUCCCUCCAUUUCGUCCUCUGUUCACUCCCAACCCAAAACGCCGUUCUCCGCCAAUUGCCGCCGACCACGCCGUGCUCCUUUCAAUUCAUUGUCCGUCGUCUUGAGCGUGGGCGUCCGUCGAACUGCACCCCAGUCAUCCACCGUUUGCCCUUCGUUGCACCUCCGCUCGCUGGCGCGUACUUUCCAAUUUCUUUUAGUUUUGAGUACAUUAUUCGUCAGUCACCAUAAAGAAUCAAAACUGCUGAUGGACCCGACCCCUCCACUCCGUAGCACUGCAGCCCCCUCCGCGAAUUGCGUUCCAUCUGUAGCAACUGAACGCGAUGCCCUAUUUCCUAAUUCCACUCUCUAGGUAUUUAUUUCUUUCAAUGUUCGACCACGCUAGCAAAUUCUGCAGUCUUUUGCUUUGAAAUUGAAUUAGUUUUUUAAUUUUACUUAUCUGUAUAUAUCAACUGAUUAGAUCCAUUGGUUGUUAUGACCUUACUCUUGUUGUUUCCGAACUUAACCCUGAAUGUCAAUCCUCAAGCAGGUUGAAUAAUUUGAAUUUUUAAUCUUAAGGACAUUCUCCUUUGAAAUUCAGGCAAACAAUCCGUAGAAUGAUCCUGUUUUGCCUUGGCCGAUGACUGUGUGAGGUUUUCUUUUAUGGCUGAAGCUUAAAUUCGGUGUCUAGCCUGUUUCUUUGAGUUGUUUUACAUUCUUUAACCAAGAAAAUGGAAUCCAGUGCAACUCCUGGACCAGAUGAUCCUUUAAUUCUCAAAGAGCAAGAUAAUCACAUUUCAUCAGACAUUUGGGAUGGAAAGGUAAUAGACUUUUAGAUUUUUUGGAGCUUUGAUCAAUGAUAUUGUAUCCAUUUUAUAACCCAGUAUAUAUAUGUGUGUUUUUGUGUAUACAUAGGUUGAGAUAUAUUUUUACUGUUAUGCAUUUAAAAAAUUGCAGGAAAGAGGUGUGCUUAGGUGUCUAGAGCAUACUUCCAUUCUUGAGAGAUGGAAACUUACAGGAAAACAGAUUGAGCUAGUUGAAAAGGCUGGAUUCGGGUAUUUGAGAUUGAUGCCAGCUGUAACCCUUGACUGUGCGCUUAUCUCAGCAUUAGUGGAGAGAUGGAGAAAGGAAACAAAUACCUUUCAUUUUUCAGUUGGAGAAAUGACAAUAACACUUGAAGAUGUUGCUCUUCUACUCGGAUUGUCAAUUGAUGGAAAACCUGUUACAGAUGUGGAUGUUGACCCCAAGUCACUUUGUGAAAAUUUACUCGGGAAAGCUCCAACAGAUUUCAAGGGUGCUGUGAAAUUAACUUGGUUGAAGGAGGUUUUCUCUGAAUGCCCCGAAGAUGCAGGGAUCGAACAAAUAGAGUAUUCUACUCGUGCAUAUCUCUUAUACUUGUUAGGCAGUACUAUAUUUGCCUCAACAAGUGGGAACAAAGUUAGUGUCAUGUACCUUUCACUAUUCAAGGAUUUUGAUGAAGCUGGGAAGUAUGCUUGGGGUGCUGCUGCUUUGGCUUUCUUGUAUAGAGCACUAGGCAAUGCUUCUCUUAAAUCUCAGCGCACUAUUAGCGGUUCUUUAACACUUCUGCAGGCAUGUAAGCUUGUUGCUCUUUUCUUUUAGUGUUCACGAAUGUUGGUAACUUAGGGUCAAUGCGACUAUCAUUAUCUUGCAUCUCUGAAAUGUCGUGUUCUCAUUAAAAUGCUGACACCCUAUCUGGAUUUUUUUUCCUCACCUACAUAACAGUGUUGGAGUUAUUAUCACUUGAAUAUUGGCCGGCCCAAAUUAAAAAAGGAUCCAGAGAAUUGUUUUCCGUUUCUACUUAAAUGGACGGAAAAUAGAAGUGGUUCCCGAAUGGGAAUAAAUUUGCCCACAUACCGUAAGGCCUUGGAUUCUCUUCAGCCCUCUGAUGUAAGUUUCCUAUAAUACUUCAGUAUUUCCCCCUUCUGUAUAAUAGAAGAUUGUAUGACUUUUUUGUUUAUUCAAUAUAUAGGUACAAUGGCUUCCCUACAAGGAUAUGGACUUUUCUGUUGUACCAGAAGAUAUCAAGAACAGUUUGGUCUUGCGCACGUCAAGAACAAUGCUAAUUUGUUUUGAUAAGGCUGAGAAACAUCUUCCAGACCGAUGUUUGAGACAGUUUGGCCUGCCUCAACCUAUUCCGAAGGACAUUGAGGAUUGGAAGCGGAAAAUUUCUUCAAUGGAUAGCAAGGAGGAACUGCCACCAGAGCUCAAAGAAUGGUCAGAGAGGUAUGAAUUUAUCAAUAAUGGUGUUGAUAGUGUAGACGAAAGUGAGUAUCUGCAAUGGUAUGAAAAGAUCACCCGCAAAUUUGUUGGACGAGCCGAAUCGUGGGAGUCAAGAUUUAGACAAACAAUUAAGGCUAUGCAUGAAGUUGUGAAGAUAGUAAAUUCAAUCUCCACGAAUGGGAUGGAUCGAGAGGAUCGCAAGUUAUUCAGUAAUGUGAGAACUAUGGUACAGAAAUGUUGGACUGAAAAAUACGCUGAUUCACCCAGUGAAGGGGAUAGGGAUAGUGCAAAACGUACUGGGAAACGUAAGAGAGAAGGUUAAUCAAAUAUUGAUGAUGGUUAGUCUCCAUUCCCCUCUAAAAGCCAGGGUUCUAUUGCACUUUCAAAUAUUGUUAUUCAGUAAAGACCCAGAAAAUGCCAGUGUGGAAACAUUUUGACACUUGAUAAAUGUAUGAGGCAGUUCUUGGGAUGGCUCAGUUUAUAAAAUCUUAAUUUGCCUAUGCUCUCCGGACGAACAAUGGAGCUGGGGCAAUUGGGAUAUUCCUACAAGAGUUUUCGGGCAAUUGGGAAUCAGUAGACUUCAGUAGACGUUUGAUGCAAAGUUUUGGAAACUCUCCUCUGCAAUGCAAUUGAUCCGGUACUCUUCCUUGUUUUUCCUUUGGAAGAGCGAAUAUUCCAAGGUACACCGAGGUAUUGGAAGUUAUUCAUUGGGUGACCUUUUCCAAUAAAUGGUUAAUUGAUGAUCACUAGAAAGCACUUCUUUUGUUCAAUUUAUAACUUGGGAGCAGAUUCCUUCUUUUUGUUGCUAAGAAAUAUCCAACUUGAAUAUAAAGGGGUUAAGACUUGUGUCCUGGACCAAGAUGUUAAGACUUAAGUUUGAAUCUCCUCUUACAUGGAUGAGCUUUUUAAAACUUGUUUUUAGCUUUCAGCAUGUGUAGCCUAAGAAUUCAAAUAUGAACAAUUCAAAUAUGAACGCGUCAUUGGCUUAUGGCCUGUUAAGUGAAGGACUUUCAAAGGACUCAUUUUUAUUUAAAUUCUUUUUAAAAUAAUCUUUGUAAGUGUUUAGAAGUUAUUUGAAAUAACUUAUUAUUCAUCACUCAAAGUUAAAUUAAACACCCUCUUAGUUUCAGCUCUGGAAGUUGAACUUUGAAAACAUUUGUAAGAAGAUUAUGAUACAUAAAAAAAUCUACUUCAACUUUGGUAGAUUGAACUAUGGUUCAAAUAUUAUAUGAUUGAAUCUUCACAUUUUUUGUAUUCCAAGUAUAAUCACAUUUAUGAAAUGCUAAUGUUAGAUAUGAAACACCGGUGAAUUCUUGUAAUUCUAAUUAUAUUUUAAAUAGUGAUUUUAAACCUAUAAUAAAUAAAUAUUGUAUAUGUAACUAUAACUUCUAGUGCAAUCUUGUAGUUUUAAUUAUUUUGGUAAUUUUUAAUCUAUAAUAAAUUGAUAUUAUACAACUAAGAAAAGUCACACAAAAUAAUUGUGAAAUCACACGAAAUAAUGGAUUGUUUCACCAUAUUAAUUAUUACUUUUACGUAUUUUGUUUUGCUUUUAACCUAGCAUGUUAUAAUUUUAUUGGAAGAAUCAAUUUACCAAUUCGUGCGUAGAAACCUCAACCUUCAAUAGAUGUCAAUAGUUGCACUUAAUAAAAUUGAAAAAGGAACCUUUAUUGUCUCUGAAAGAUCAUUUUUAUUGUUGACACUUCAAAAGCAAAUAUGAGAGAUGGAUAAUUCUCACAUAAAAAGAAGUGUUAUGAUAAAUGCUUGUCGAAUUACUGUCUUGAAAGCAAUUACGGUAUGAUCAUGAUGUAACGUGCGCUCGCGAUGAUGUGGAUAUAAUCAAUUGAAGUGUAAACAUCCAAACUUAGCUACUAUAUGUAACUUUUGUAAUACCAGUAAAAAUCUGUUAUAAUAAGUCGUGAUAUUUAUAAUUAGUUGUGAUUAUUUAAACGUUUAUGAAAUUCCUAAGUGUUAAAGGGUAAAGUGUGUUGGAUUGAAGUGAAGUUGGUACGGAAAAAAGGGUGACAGGGACGCAUUCAAGAGACACAGGAGAAUAAUUAAUUGAAAACAUGUGAUGGAAUUUACAAGGAUGGAUUGAACAUUUAACUCAGAAAACAAAAGCAAGAGAUAAACAAAAAUCAAAGUAAAUGGUAAUAAGUUAAAUAAAAUAAUUUAAUUAAGCAAAAAGGGAUAUUUACACCAUUAAGUAAUUUAAUUGAGCUAGAAGUUAACGAGGAAGAAAACGAAGGUUAACUAUGCACAAAACAAUCAAAUUUUGAAGUAGGAGGUGUCAACUUCAUAUGCAACAUCAGCCUGCAGAAGAAGUUUAUUUAAGGAUAACCUUAGCCAAUUGUUCUGAUUUCAUUGGCAAGUUAAACUUGAGAGAGUGUAGUUUAUGUGAGUGUAAUCUCUCUUUUUUUUUUUAACAAAUGACAAAUACGUUUAUAGAGUUUCAAUUAUAUUUACUAGGUCAUGGCAUAUUCAACAUCUUUUAAAGCGAAUGAAUCAAUUAUAUGUACAUAAAUGUGAAUACGUAUAUUACAUCCUUAAACUUUGAUUAAGUAGAAAAAUAAAUAAAUAAAAAGUUUAGAGGCUUGUUAAUAGAUUUAAAAAUUUAUUAGACACAAAAUUAGAAGUUGAAUCGCGGUUAGAAAUUCUCACAUUAUUAUACAAAAAAAAAAGGAUUGUAAUAUAUAUCAAUUUAAAAUUUUUAAACAAUUACAUUUGUAUCAACAUAUUUUAUAAUCUAUUAUAUUUCGUUCAAAAAAUACUAUCACUCACAAUCAUACUAAUCAAACACGUGAGAGAAUUAAUGCAAGAACAAUAUUGAAAUAUAAACAUAAAUAAUGGAUCCAAUUGAUAGUACUUACAAAAAUUCAAGAGUUUAAUGAAACAGGAUUGUGGGUUGUAAGUUCUUUAAAAGUAAUUUACAUAAAUGGUUAAGUAAUUUACAUAAAUGUAACAAACCAAAAUUAUCAUGGCUCGUAUGAUAAUAAGUCUAUGAUACAAUAUUUUUUUUUUUUUUUGUAAAUUAUAUAUAUGACCUUUCGAUUUAUAUCUUCUUUACAAUUUAUUAAUCUUGAGUCAUCUCGGUGCAAUUAAGGUUCCAAGAUUGAAUAACUAAAGACAUGCAAAAGUCUUUCAUUUCGAGACAUCUCGAGGCAAUGUAUGUCCGAGAUCGAAUAAAAUAAAGACAAUUCUUUCAUCUUCGAGCCAUUUUGGUGCCACUAAGGUCUGAGAUCCAAUAUAACUAAAGGAAGAAUGCUUUCAUCUCGGGGCAUUGUAUACCCAAAAUCGAAUGUAUUAAAGGCAGAAUUCUGUCAUCUCGAUGCAUCUCUAUACAACUAAGGUCUAAUGUCAUGUAUUGUAAUCUACAUGAUCGUUUAAAUUUGAAAGUCAUCGUUUAAAAUGGAAGUAUAGGAUUGUGUAGAUCUACAUUUAUGUCUUUCAUCUCGAGUCAUCUUAGUGUAUUGUAUGCCUCAGAUCGAAUGAAUUAAAAGCAAUGUUCUUUCAUCCCGAGGCAUCUUGGGGCAUGGUAUGUCCAAGAUCGUAUAUCAAAAUCUACAUGAUCGAGCGUAUGUGGUUGAUUUAUCACGAGUUGACAUGGGUAAUUAUGGUACUUUACAUUGUGGGCCUAUGGAAUUUUUUCAAUUUUCAAAAUUGUUUUAUAUAAUAUAAAUAUUUUGCCAGUUUGUUAUAUUUUUUAAAAACUCUAAGUUUUACAUAGUGAAGUUUAAAUUGAUACAAUUAUUAGUCUAUGGUUUAAAUUGAUAUGACCUCAAAGUUUAAAGUUUAAAGGUUAAUUUUCUUAAAUAUAACAAAACACCAAAAUAUUUAUGGUCAAUAUAACAAAAACGAAAAGCCCAUGAAGUCAGUAAAAUAUUUUGUAAAUUCUAGAUUUGCUCUUGAUAUUUUGAACGAUUCAUCACUUCUGUUUUUUCUUCUUCUUUGCAAUUUAUUCAUCUUCUCUUUCAAAUUUCUUCAGCUCAUCUUUUCAUAUUUUCUUUCUUCUAUUUUUAUUCAUCAUCUUUUUUUCUUUCUUUCUUCAAGCUCAUCUUCCAGAAUAUCAAGAUCGUUUAAAUAUCACUAUGAUAUUUGAUAUGAUCUAAACGAUCGCCUACCUAGUCAACAUGAUCGUUUAGAUUUGAAGUCCUUUUCACAUCGUUUAAAAAGGACUACAUAUUUGUGUAAAUAUGAUCUAAGCAAUCGCUUACCAUAGUCAACACGAUCAUUUACCAUGAUCAACAUGAUUGUUUAGAUUUGAAGUCCUUUUUCCAUCAUUUAAAAUGAACUACGCGAUCGUGUGGAUAUGUUCCAAACGACCGCUUACCAUAUUCAAUAUGAUCAUUUAACAUGCAUGGUCAACACGAUUGUUUAGAUUUGAAGCAAUUUUUCCAUCGUUUAAAAAGAAUUAAUUACACGAUCGUGUGGAUAUGAUCUAAAAGAUCGUUUAGCGUGAUUAACACGAUCGUUUAGAUUUGAAUCAUUUUUCUCCUCAUUAAAGAAAACUACAUGAUCGUUUUGAUACUACCUAUAUGAUCGUGUAUCAAUUCCUAGACAAUCGUGUAUCAUGAUCGUUUAGUAGACGAAUUACAUACAAGCAUAUGAUCAAUUAAUCGCGUGUUGACUGGGAAUGGCGGAUCCAAAAAUUUUAUAUAGUGGGUCAUCAUGCACUAUAUAAUAUCACACUAAAAAUGUUUAAAAAAAAGAUUUCGACAUUUCGUUGAUGCUCCAAUAACGACAUUCACUACAUUUAUAGUAAUAAAGAAAAAACUAGCAAUUUCCACGUCAUAUUUUGUAAUGUAAACGUGAAUUUAAAAAUUGCAUAAAAAAAGAUAAAGAAAAGAAUAAUACUUUUUUCAUAUAAAUAUUGUUGAGAGAGUGGAAAUUUAGAUCAUCAUCUUUGUUGCAUUUUUUUUCUAAAUACUUAUUAGAUAGCGAACGACCACUAGAAAAAAGUUAGAAUUUUAUCUUAGUUAGGUUUUGUUCAUUUUUUAAAAAAACUAUUUUAUAACAUUAUUGAAACUUAUCAAUAAAAUUGAAAUUUGGAGUCUUGAAUAAAUAAAAUUAUUGAAAUGUUACUGAAUUAACUUGUAGUCUUUAAUUUUGAAAUUAAAUUAAAUUAAUAUAUAAUGUGAAUUAAAAAAUUACACAAAAUGUUUUUUUCUAAAUAUUUGUUAGGUUAGAUAAGUUUUUUUUUUCUUUUUAAUUAUUGAUUGUUUGAAAUAAAAUUUAUUUUGUUACAAUUUAGAAAAAAAUUUAGAGAUUUAAAAAAAUAAUUGUAAUAACCGUUGAAGAGUGAGCCAACAACCAUUGUACUGUAACUAAAAUUUAGCUUAGCUAAAUUAAAGCAUUAUUUAACCUAUGUUUACGAUGAUAUUUCAAAAUUAAUAUUAAAAUAUAAAAACUCAUAAUAUGACAUCUUAAAAUUAAUAUUAAAAUAUAAAAAACUGAUAAUACAACCGCAGCAGUUGUGUUGUGGAAUAAAUCUGCCCAAGUAGUAUUAUUUUUUAAAAACCCAAGUUUAAAUUGAUAUUUUGCGGUAUUUUUAUUUGGUGAAGUUUACUAUUAUGUAAUGAAAUAUUCCACUUGCUCUUAUGUACAUAUCAAACUCAUAAAUGUGAGAAAGGUGGGAAGCUAAAGUUUAUACAAAAACCGAAAAUUAAAGAAUUAAAAAAAUGUGAAGAAUAAUGGUUACAAUGAAGCAAAUGUAGAAAGCGAAACAAUAACGUCAUCAAGCCAUCCCUCACUCACACAAGACUCAUACAAGUCGAAGCUGCCUUAGCCAAUACUCUAACCACAACAGAUCUAUACCUGAGAGGCUUAAUCAACCUCCACGGGCUGAUUCCGCUCUCGUACCCAUCCGCGGUGACAACACUUACCGUCGUCUCCUUCGGAACCACGUGGAACAUCGGGGUCGGUGCUAACCGAGCCUGUCUCUUCCGAAUCUCACUCAACUCUAUUCUCGACGGAGUUUUUGUUAAUCCUAUCAACGCCAUCGGCCUCCUCGAAUUACUCCGUUGAAUUUCAAAUAAUCCGCCCACUGCAGACGAAGAAAACGGUCUCGAUCCAUUUCCGUACCGAAAGCUCUGGUUUCGAAUCAACGAUGAUUCCGAUCUAUUUCUAGAACUUGCAGAGUCUUCAUCUCGGAAUAUGUCCAAAGUCCUCCCGCAGAAAACGAUUUCACUUGGAGGCAACAAUGAACUUGUUUUCCGCUUCAAAUCGGUGCGAAAUUCGAAGAAAUCUUGGCGAUCGUCGUGAUCACUGCAGGAAUCCCCGGCUUCCGAUUGUGGUUCGAGAAUUGGAAAAUCACGGAAAGAGAGAGUGUCUUCGUCGUCUUGAACGUCAAGGACGUCCAACAAAUCUGGAUUAUACUUCACUGACUCCAUCGAAGCAGAAAGAAUGGUUUUAGAAAAAGAAAAUUGCGGUGAAAUGAAGAUGAAGAUGGAAUUGGUGGAUUAAAUAAAGGGAGAAAGAGGAAAGAAGGAGGAUGCUUCCUUUGGAGAACUUCUGGAAGGGUGGAGAUUGGAUUUGAUCCACCAUGAAUUAUAAUAUGGUGUUUUUUUAGCUUAAGCGUGUAUGCCAAGAUUUUCAAUACGGAGACUUUCUAGAAACACACUUAAGACAAGAGACUCUCUAAUAAAACUUUUGUUGUAGUUAUUAUUAUUAUUUCUAUACAAUAUUUUAUUUUAUUUUUUAAAACUUUAUAGGUUUGAUUGAUUAAUAAAUUUACAUUUGCACUAUAAGUUAUAAAUAUUUGGUAACAAAGUUGUAAAUAUUUUAUAUAGGGCUUAGUUGUAAAUAAUUUGUCUAUUUUACUGCAUUCUACAAUUCCUGCUUAUAUAUAAUUGGAAGUCAUCUAUUAAAAAUACUUUUAGGAGAAUAGACUAACUAAUAAAUAUGUGAAGAGUUAGCAGUUGGAUGAUGUGUAUCCAUUGUAUUUAAUAGAAGUGGGGUUGACAAAAAAAUAAUUUUUAAUAAUAUAUAUAUAUAUAUAUAUGUAUGCAUGCAUGCAUGCAAAUACACAUACAUCUAUCAUCUAUAUAUAAUAUAUAUGAAAAGCUAAUAAAAAAAACAUUUUAAGACAAAUUUGUCCCUAUGCAUUUUAAUUAAUCAUAUAUAUUUUUUAAAAUUUGAAAUAAAUAAACGUUCUAGAAUUAGAUGUAUUAAAUUAAAAAAUUAUUAGGUAAAUAGAUUUUUAAAAAACCCGUAACUUAUAAUUGAAUGAUUAGAGUAAUAAUUAACUAGAAUUUAAUUUACUUUUAUAGAUUGAGCUUUAGGGGCCGUUUGGAUGAAGGGUUGAGUUAUGGAAGGGUUAGGGUUAUGAUAAAACUAGUUUUAUGAUAAAAGUUGUUUGGAUGAAGGGUUAUGUGAGUAGUGUUAUGAUAGUGUUAUAAUAAUAUGUGUUUGGGAGAAGGGUUAUGUGAUUUGUGUUAUGAUAGUUUUAUGAUAAUAUGUGUUUGAGGGAAGGGUUAUGUAUGUAGUGUUAUAAAAUUUAUUUUUUAUACAUUUUUUUUAAAAAUUCAUAUUCUAAAUCCAACCAAAAUUUUGUAUAUUUAGUUUACUAAAUUAUUAUAUUUUCGUCAAACAAUUUUCAAUAAUUUCUUUAAAUUUGACGUCUUUUUCCAACAUUUUUUAGGUUGUCGUUAUGUGCAAAUAAUUUAUUAACUUUUUAAAGAAAUUUUGUAUUCUAAAUCUAAUACACAGAUUUAUUUGACGUAAUUGUUACGUUCAAAUAAAUUAUUUAUCUAAUCGUUCUAGUUUUCGUAACACAAUUUUCCUUAAUUUAUUUAAAUACAAUAUGAACUUUUUUUAAGUAAUCGUUUCGGUUGAAUAAAUUACUAUUUUUCUUUUAAGGAUAAAACAUUCUUAGUUUUUUCUUAUCUCAAUAUUAUGUUUUUUUUUUUCUCAUCUUUUUAAAUUAAAGGAUUGUUGUUCUGGAAGCAACAAAAAUGAUAAAAAAAAUUAUAAUAAAUCAAUGAAAGAUAUAAAAAUAAGGAAGAAGAAAGAGAAAAAAAAAAGUACAUUUUGGAAAAAUAUAGCAUAAUUUGGUAAAAAAUUAGAUUUAAAAUUUAAUUCAAAUAAAUCUUAAAUCAAAUCACCAUUGAAUUCAUUUUUUUAAAAGGAAAAUUCUUAUACAUUUCAAGUUUAAAUACUUCCAAAAAAGAUAUUUGUUAUCUUAGUUAAUUUAACGUUAAAUCCUCUUAUUUGAUUUUAUUUUGAUUUUUCUAUAAGUUUAAUAAAAUUCAUUUUUUUAAAUUUAUUUAACUUAAAUUUAUCCGAAAUAGUUUAGAUACAUAUAGAUUAGUUUUAAAAUAAAAUAUUUGAAAAGGUAAAAAACAAAUAAAAGACAUAAAAUAAUAAAAAAAAAUUAAAGUAAAUACAAGUACUAAAUGCAUAAACUAAUCACAAUUUAUAUUUAUUUAAAUUUUAUUUUGUAAAUAAAAUAAAUUAAAAACAAAAUUAUUUUAAGAUUAUUAAAUUAAUUGAAAAAACAAAUGGCAUUUGAUAAAUAAAAGAGUAUUUUUUUUUAAGAAAAAAUGAAAUGGUAAAUUUAUGGAGAAUUGAAAAAGUAGGAUUAGAGAGGGCUGAAGAGAUUGAGAAGGAAGAGAGAGGGGAAGAUGAGUUAUGAUAAACCUAAAACAAGGGUUAUGAUAACCCUUCCCCAAACAAGGGUUGGGUUACCAUAAACUUAACCCAAAAGUGAUAAUCCUUCCUCCAAAUUUAAUAAGAAAAAUGCUUGGCUAAUAAUUAAUUGAAUCCAAACCUACCAUAUAAACACAAAAUUAUUUUAAUGCUUCUCACAUUAUAUGUCAAUUUUUACUUUUUGAAGAUUGAAGAUUGCUCAACAUGAAGAUAGACGAAUGAAAUUGUUCAUAAUAAAAAAAUAUUUGUUAAUUUAUAUUUUGGGUGUGUUUAUUAUAGUUUCUACUCUUUUUUUUUAAUAAUUCAACCGUUCAUAGUAUUUUUUUUUUUUUUUUUUUUGUCUAUAGAAGGUACAUAACUUCAUUUUCUUAAACUUUUAGUUUAUCGAAAAAGAAUGGAUUGAUGAAAAAAGUUGUGAUUAAUAAAGUUUGAAGUUUUUCUAAAAACGUAUUCAACCAAAGUAAUUACAAUUGUUUACAAAUUUAUAUCACACCAAAUCAAAAAUAAAAAUAAAAAACCUCUUUGCAUUUAAAAUUUUAUAGUUGUUACAUUUAUUACACUAUGUUUGAAGGGACACAACCACUAUACGAGAGACAAAAUUUAGUAACACUAGAGCAUUAUUUAAUAUAUAUUGUAAUUUCAAAAUUAAUAUUAAAAUACAAAUAAAAAAUGUAAGAGGGAGACGAGCCCCUACCUCUUAAUAAAUCCGUCCUUGUGUGGAAGACAUAGUCAAACUUAUUAAAUGUGUACGUCAAGCUUCCUAUCUUCCUCCAUAGGGGUUAUUUAAGACCAUUAUAAGUGCAUUUAUGUGUUUAUAUAGCUAGGUUUGUAUUUUUUACUUAUUAAUUAGUAUGCCCCUUAAAAUUUGUGUCAUAUUUUCUAACCGUAUUCAUUCUAGCCAUCUUUAUCGAACCAUAAUUAAAAUUAGUUUAUUCGUAAAAGAAUUUCAUUAGAUAGAUCAAUUAUAGUAAACUUAAAUCGUAAAUAUAAUUGAAUUACUUUUGAUCACAUUUAUUUAGAGUUAUGAAUCCUUCACGUCUACUAUUAUUGUUACCAUUUGACUCUAAGUAGGAUCAAAAUUGUGACUGUAACAAUUAAAUGUAAAGAUAAAAUAACAAAUGUCAGUUCAUAAUUAUCAUAUGAUUACAAUAACAAUAUCUUAAUAACGAUAACAAUGAAGGGUAGUUAGUUCAACAUAAUUUUUAAGCAUAAUUGGAUAAUUAAGCACGUUCCUUAAUCAGAUUAUUUGAUUUGAUUACAAAUUUGGAGGUAGGACCUACGAUUGUUCAUUAAAAUUACAAAACACAAGUAAACAACAACAAAGAUUAUUAACUCGGGCCAACUUUUUAUAUUUUCAUUUAUGAAUUUCGAUUGAGGUAAAUGUGGCCUUACUUGUGUUUAAAUGGUGUUUGAAUUGGAUCUUUGCACAACUCUUGACCUUUUAAAUGGCUUAGAUUAAUGAUAUUAAAACUGUGUGUUUUCAAGAAUUGUCACUUUGUUGUUGUUUUUUCUUUUUUCAAAUAUUGCUUUAGAAUUGAUAUUUAUUGAAUUAGUCUUAGUCUUAUAGUUCUCAAAUGAAUUGUCUUAGAUCUAACAAUGAUUUAUCCUUCUAACUUUGUUUUAGAUUUGUAAGUGUUUGCAAAAAUCUAAAUUAGUAAAUGGUUCAGCAAUAGAGCAAUUUAAUGAAUGAAUUUUAUUUGGAUUAAAUUUUUAAAUGUUUAAUGUAAAAAAUAAGUUAUUCGGUAAAAAGUUGGGAGUAUUUGAAAGCUACUUAAAAUAGUUUUUUAAAUGUAUUUUAAACCAUUUUCACAAAAAUGAGUUUAAAGAAAAAUGAGUCGUUUCUUGAAAAAAAAAAAAUCUUCAGUCAAUCCAAACGGACCCUAUAUCGUUAUUGUGAAUGUCAGUUUGAUGAAAAAGACUAUAAAAAGCAUGAAUAUAAGAGAAAAGUAUCUCUAUUGAUGAGCUAUAGGAAGGAUGAUUCGAACCUAUAUAAUUGUAUUCCAGAAACAUAUACGAGCAUCGUAUGAUUGUAAAACAUUAAUAAAGAUUCACUAGGUGUAAAGAAAGCCUCCAAUAAACAAAGAGAAAUUGCAUUAGAUGACAAUACUUUUAUAUAAAAAAAGUAUAUAUAUAUAUAUAGCUAGUUUUCUUAAAAGAAAAUAAACGUACGUUAGUUAGUUCAGAUAUUUGUAUAUAUAUAGUCUAAUAUGAAAGAUAUUGCAUUAUUUGAUUUGAACCUCCAUAUGUCACAUGGUUUUUAGUUAGAAAACAGAUUAAAUUGGACCUUAAUCUAUAAGAUAUUCUCAAGUCAUCUAACUCUAAAUAUAAUAUAAUUUUCCAGGAUGAAACCUACAAAAUCUAUAAGAUAUCCUCAAGUCUUCCCAACUCUCUCUAUAUAUAAAUUAAUAUCAUUUUCCCAAGAUGAAACCUAAGAAAACAAUCAAAGUCAUAAAAUGUAUCAAUAUGGUGUAGUAUUUUUCAAAUCAACUCAACAUUCAACAACUACACAUUUUGUCUUUUACAAUCCAUAUUUUAGGGGUUUUUUUUUUUGUUUGAGAAAAACAGUUUAAUCUAUCUAUAUAUGUACUUGUAUCUAUACUAUAUUAAAGUGUGAGAUUCAUGAGAAACAUUUUUAGUCUAAAUUAUCCUCCUUAAUUUUAAGUUAUUACAUUUAUGUAUCCUUACUAUAGUGUUUUUAAUUUUAUUAUUCAUUUUAGUUUUAAUUUUAAGUUAUAACAAGGGACACUUAAAAAAUAAAAAGAGGAAAAACAAGUAUUAAUAAUUAAGUCUAUAACACACAUUUAUUGUUUGUAAAAAUGAUAAAGACAAAACCAACCCACUUAUAUAAUAUGUGAAAUGCCAUAAAUGUCUUUGUUACUGAUAUACAUUUGAUACACUUGAUACGCACCUGAUACAUCUGAUACUCUUUGAUACACUUGAUAUACAUUUGAUACUUCUUGAUAACUUUUGAACCUUGAUACACACUUGAUGUACCAUGAUACUCUUUGAUUGUGAGACUCGUUUCUAAUUUGAAUAUAGGAAUUAAAAUUCGGUUAAAAGUAUUAAAGAAAUUGGUGUUUGAAUAAAUCUGCCGAAAGGAUUAAGCGAUAAAAUCUUUUAUGGUUAGUAUAAGUUUUGAGAAAAAGAGGGUUUGCAGUAGAAUCUAUAAGUCUAAACGCUCUAAAAAAAGUUUGCUUAAGUUAAGUUUUGACUAAAACGACUAGGCGUUUAGGUAGUCUUCACGAUAAGAACCAAGGGUUUCGUGAUAAAAAAGUAUGCGAGGAAGUCUUGAAGUUUAAGUUCACGAUAAGUGUUCUAAGCGAGUAAAAAUUGGUUAGUUCGCGAUGAAGGUUUCUUGUAAAAAUAAAACCACGCGAUAAGGUUAUUCGCGAUGAGUGUUAAGUGGUUAAAAUUAUUUGUGGUAUGGGCUUAGGCAGGAAGUAAGGUCUAACUAAGAAAAUGUCAAAUAUGAUUUGACAGGGAUUAACGUGUAAGGUUAAGAAGUUAAAGCAUGUUGGGUUGAGUAUUAAAUUCAUGUGUAAAGUUUUAAGCAGAAGCUGGCAAAGUGAGAAGAGUUUAAGCAUGACUAAGAUAGUUUAAGGGCUUUAUAAAUAGAGGGUUUGGUCAUUAAGUAAGAAAGUUUUAUUAAAAAAAAAAAAAGCUAAAAUGCUAUUGUUUUAAUUUGCUUUUGUGAGAAGGAAAAAAAAACAAAAUAUUAAGUACGGUGAUUUGUUCCGCGAGAAGGCUCCACAAGACGAGAAUGAAGAGGAAGAUUUUUGUUAAAGUGUGGUGAGUGGUUUUCUUCUUAAAAGUUUUGUGAUUCUGCUUUACUAUUUUAAAAGAUGAUUUCAAAUGAGAAAGUGUUUAAAAAAGAAAUUUCUAUGAAAAGAUUAUAUGUCUUCAAGCAUGAUUUAUAAUGUUAAAGCUUGAUUUGAUGAUUACGAUUUCCUAAGAAAUGAUUUUCAAAACAUUAGUUGAUUCCUUGAGAUAAUAAUAACUUUUAUGUUCACAUAAAGAGUCAAGGCCACCAUGGAGUGUAUGGACUACAUGGUGAUAAGAAAUUGGCUUAUGUGUUGAAAGGAGUGUAUAAAGCUCAGCAGUCUAAGCAACAAGGAUGAAUCUGUAUGUUCUCAGAUGUUGUUGAUACAGUAGUCAAACGCAAGGUAAUGAGACCAAGCGUAGAUAAUGAUUCAGGAUCCUUGGCGAAAGAAAUAACUAUUAACUAAUUUGUGUUUAUGUGAAAUUGUUGUGUUAUGAAUGUGUUUGUUAAGCAUAAAGAAAGAUUUAUGCGAGAUGAAAUGAUUUGAUAUUAUUUAUGCGAAAUGAUGUUUAUGGAAAUGUAUUGCGAAAAGGAUUUCAUAAAAUCUCACUAGUCUUUUAGACUUAUUCUUUCAAAAAUUCAUCUUUCAGGAUCAGACGUUUAGGCCAAGUAAAGAAGAAGGUUGAAGGAUUUGCGACGAAAUAACUCUAGACCUUUUGGAAAUGGUUAAACAUUGGUUAUUUGAUCAAAGUGUUGUAAUUAUGUAUCCAACGCCUGUUAUUAAUAAAAUAUACUUAUUUAUUAUAUUUGGCAUUUAGGUUGACCACAGUUGCAUUUUGAGUUUUGUUGAUAGUAUAAAAGGAGUUGAGAAUAAGAUUUUGCGAUAAAAAAGUUUCAAUAAAUGGCGAUAUGCAAUGUGUGGGAAUUUAAUGCUCUCCAAGCCGAAGGGACUUGGUCAUUAGUUCCUCGACUUCCAUCUAUAAAUGUUGUUGGUUGUAAAUGGGUUUUCCACACGAAAUAUAAUCAUGAGGGCUCUGUUGCUUGCUACAAAGCAUGACUAGUUGCUAAGGGUCAUCAUCUGGUACAAGGCUUUGAUUUUGAUGAAACCUUUAGUACUAUUGUCAAAAAAACUCACUAUACGAGUUAUUCUGGCUCUUGUUGCUUAAUGCAAUUGGCAUUUAACCCAGUUAGAUCAAAAAUGUCUUUUUUCAUUGUCUUCUCUAGGAAAUAGUUUACAUGUCUCAACCUACUAGCUUCCACCAUAAAACAUAUCCAAAUCACGCGUGCCUCCUUUAGAAGAGUCUUUAUAGUCUCAAACAAGUCCCUCGUUCUUGGUUUGAUCGAUUUACAUCUUAUUUAUUUACCCUAGGUUUUGUUGCUUCUACUGCCAAUUCUUCAUUAUUCAUUUAGUUUGUUAGGUCUUCUCUCACUUACUUACUUCUAUAUGUAGAUGAUAUUAUUGUCACUCUUCGUAUAUUUUUAUUCUCAAACAACAAUUGGCUCAUGAGUUCCAAAUAUCAAAUCUUGAUCCUUUAAAGUACUUUCUUGGUCUCAAAAUACAUUCCUCCACUGAUGCAAUUUUCCUUAACCGAGCCAAAUAUCUCACUGAUCUUCUUCACACCUCCAUAAUGUCUUUUGCAAAAACUUGUGCCACAUCAAUGUCUACUUUUAUUGAUCUUUAUACCACUACCCUGCCAUUUAAUGACCCCUCCUUAUAUCGUUGGCUCAUUGGUUCCUUACAAUACCUUACUUUUAUCUCUCCUAAUAGUACAUUCUCUAUAAAUCAUGUUAGUUAAUUUAUGCACAAACUCAUUGUUAUUCACUUCUUUGAAAUCAAACGCAUCCUCCGAUAUCUAUAUAGUACUUCGACCAUUGACAUAAAAUUUUUACAACUUCGUUAUCUCUACAAACCUUUUGUGACUCUGAUUGGGCUGGAGAUAUUUCUGAUUGAUAUUCCACCUUUGGAUUCAUUGGCUUCCUUGGUUCUAAUUCAAUAUCUUGAUCUUCCAAAAAGCAACCUACAGGUUCGCGUUCUUCCACAUAAGCAAAAUAUCGCUCACUCGCCACUACCACUACCGAUCUUUACUGGAUCCAAAAACUUCUAUAUGAUCUUCAUGUUCCACUUAAGUCUUCAACAACGUUAUGGUGUGAUAAUGUUUAUGUGUUUCAUGCUUGAAUAAACACAUUGAGUUUGAUUACCACUUUGUUCAAGAAAAAAGUAUUUUGCAAAAACAUUCAUUUGUUACAUCUCUUCCAACGAACAACUUACUGAUCUACUAACAAAGCCACUCUCAUCUCCAACAUUUCUACAACUUCGAGAUAAAUUGCUGACUCAUUCCCAGCGAUCCGUUUUAGGAAGGGUAUUAGAGGAUAUUUUUAGAUUCACAAUUCUCUCCACAAUCUACUCCUCAAUUUCUACCCUUCAAUUUUGCCUAAAUUAUAUAUUCGAUUAUAUUGUAAUAUUUCCAUAUUGUAAUCUCUUGAAUUGUAUAUUUAUAGCAAGCAUUGUAAAAGAAAUAAGAUAUGCAAAAUACAUUAUUCUAAAAUCCUUUCGGCCACUAUAAUUUAAAGCAUCAACAUGGGGCUUAAACAACCAAGCUUAAACAUGACUUAUAAUCAGCACAUCCUUAAUCAAAUAAAUAUUAAUUGAAAACAAGAUUAGAAGAUAAAGAGAUUCAAAUUAACUAACAUGAAGUUCAUACGUACUAAACCAUAACGAAGAACAAAAACGACUAAAAAUUUUAUCUAAUCUACGUGUUACUUUAUGGUUUUUUUCCAAAGUUUCACGAGUCAAGUAGUGUAGUUUUUUAUAGUAUUAUCGGAAACUUACAAAUUAAAGAUAAUGACAAAAAGAUUUAUCCCCCUAAUAGAGAAAAAACUGUAUCGAAAUGGUCAAUCUCAAUUUUGAAGCCAACAAAAAAAUGAUAGAGAAGUCUUGUAAAUAGCUUUAGAUUAGAGGGUAUAUAAGAAAAUUUCAUGGGAUUUAGAUGGUGAAAUUGGGCUUUGACUGGGCCAUAAAAUAAAUGGGCCUAGUGGCCCAUUAGGGGAUGUAAGAAAAUGAAAAAAAAAAAAAAAUUACAAAAACCAUGUUGCAGCUUCGAAGUACAGCAAGGGAAGAGUUUUUGCUUCUGGAGAAUGACGAGGGCCGCUCUCUUCCAUUUGCUACGAUCACAAUCCAAACAUAUCUCGAGAAGAAAUUACUAUUCAGGUAUGUUUCUUCUUCCUUCUUCCAUUUUCCAAUCCCUCCUUGCAAGAAUGAGACAUUUUUCUUUCUCAAGCUUUCAAUUCUGCAAUUUUCAUGCUCCCAGUGUAGUAAAGAAUGUUAAAUUUCUUGUUUGCUUCCGAUGAAUGCGAUUAGAAAAUAUUAACGUUAGCCUUUAAUGUUCUGAAAUUAUCUCAAAAUUAUUUUACAAGACCUCUUCGUGAAGUUUUAUGCCAUAUGAUAGCUUGUCUAGCUAGGGAUCUUGUCUUGAAUAAUCUCAUUUUGAUUUUAGGUUUGAGAUAAAUUUUACCGGAAGAAUUAUGCAUGCUUUGAGUUGGAACUUUGGGUGCAUUUUGCUUCUCUUUUUUUUUCUACACCUAGCUACUGUCACGAACAUUUCAAUGUUCACUUGUUGCACAUGAAUUUAGGGAUUCUUGCAAAACUAGGUUUUAUUUCAUAUUUCGUAUGUGUUACUCCUCUCCUUGCUAAUUAGCUUUGAGGUAGAACUCCAUGUAUAUCUAAUGUGGUAUUAGAAUCUAUGAUAUCCGAAAAAACAUUCUUUGUAAAUAAAUUGAAAUCUGACUCAAGAAUGGUGAGCCCAAAGAGGCAUUAUGUUGAGGGGCAUGUGGAGAGGAGAUGUCAUAAUCUUUAUAGAACACACAAGUUACUUCUCUUAUUGUCAAUUGGCUUUGAGCUGGAAUUAUGUUUGUAUGUGUUCUCUUAAAGUAAUAUUUACACUGAAAGUACGCAUUUGGCUCAUCUCCUUGUAAGACAUCCCUUUUAUCUCUAUAGCUGCCUUGUUUCCUUGUUUCCCACUUCCAAUAUUGUAGUCUAGCAUCGUUGUUUGGUGGGUUCAUCUAAGUAUCACUAUGGAAAUUUUCUUUUUUGCAUAUAACACCCUUAUAAGUUAAAAAAGAUUAAGCAACAUCUAGUAAGUAAACAAAUAAAACAAUGCAAAUGAAAUUCUUGAUUGAAAUCAAGUAAAUUCACAAAAAUGUUGAGCAAAAAGCUAGAAAAUUUUCAAUUCUUUUAACGAGACCAAAAAUUUACUGGUAGAAAAGCACUGGAAAGCAUACAAUAUCAAGUUUUAGCAAAUAUAAUGAAAGGAAAUUGCUGCCCUCUAGGAUUGGAUGUCAGAAUUUACUAUAGUAUUUCUGGUUGUUAACUAUAUUUAGAUACUCAGUUUGUUAUGUGAUAGGGUGCUAGCCACUCAGGUAUUCAGGGUUGGGAGGCUUCCAUCUCUUCUCUGGCAGUUACUGAAGAUUCGUUUGUAUUUUUUCCCCUGCUUUUCUUCCUUCCCUCACAAUAACUUAAAAGACAAGCAUAAUCUUAGACCAAAUAUAUCCAGGACUAGCAAUACUUUAAUUUUUAGGUUAAAAAGUACAAAUAUUAAGCACUAGAAACAUGCUAAUCGGGCUUGGUGUAAGACUUUCUGUGGGAAAUAACUCCCUUUCUAUUAAUCACUUGCAAUUGCUGGAUGAUGCCAUUCUUGUUCUCUUACUUCGUGAAGUCCUCACAUUCUCGUUAUUAUUGUCAAGUCUUUGUAGAGGCUUCGGUCCCUACCAUAGGUAAGGUAAAUCAGAUAUUGCUGGCAUUGGUUGUGUGACCUCCAUCAUUAAGCUGAUUGCUCUGAACUUCAGCUUAGAAUCGGGACACUGGCCAUUUCUUACUUAGAGCCUCCUCUGUUUUUUCUUUAGACCUUUUUAUUGAAAGAUGAGAAAAUAAACUCUAAUAAAGAAAAUGCCUCAUUGAAGAAGGCAGGCAACCUUAUUUGAAUAGAUUCUCUCUAAUCUUCUUAUAAUAUCUAAUAAAGAGAGUAGAGAGCCCAGUGUCAAUUGAUUUUGAGGUGGAAUCUCAUGUUAUAUAAUGUCAUAAAGCCAAAACGGGUAUUUGAUCCAAUAGCAAAUUGAGAUCCAAUAAAAAAUGGUGAACCCAAAAGAGUCACAUCAUGAGGGAUCAUGUUGAGAAUCCCACAUGGAAGAAACCAAGAGAACUGAAACUCCUUAUUUUAGGAUAGGACCCCUUUGUCAAUUGGUUUUGAGAUGGAACCUCAUUGCUAAGAAUUCCACAUAGGAAAAACUAAGGUACCUCGCACUCCUUAUAAGAUAGACGAAUUUCUUUCCUAUUGUCAAUUGGUUUUAAGAUGGAAUUAACUCUAUGCUUGUGGGCUCGAAAUAUGAAAACUCAACAAGUGGAAAUGAAUAAUAAUUGGAGAGAAAACAACAAUGUAGAGGUUUGAGAAAAAACAACAAUUUAGAGGUUUGAACACAGGAUCUUCUGAACCAACCUGCUUUAAACCCCUCUUCAAUCAAUACCAUCUUAAAUUAUCAAUUGACUCAAAGUGGCUUUUUUGGAGAUUUAUUUGACAUGGAGAUUUCACCUUGAAAAGGAUAAUUUUUGGAAGAAAUUUGUUGUUGCUAGAACGGCAUUGCUAAUGAUGGAGGAAAUGUAUUUUGUUUACUUUUAAAAUUGUAAAUAUUUUUACUUCUGGCUCUUGCAUACAGUGCAUUGCAUAUGAUCCUACCCAACCCUGAGUACCUUUCCUACAUGUUGGACGAUCUUUCCCAUUCUUCCAUCAUCCAUGGGACUUGGUUUUCCUUGUAAUUGUUUAUUCAAUGAAGUUAGUUGUUCAAUUGUUUGUUAUUGUUUUUUUUAUCAGAAAAGCUUUAGUUAUUUUGACUUGGAAAGCGAGAGAAUUAUACAACAGAAAUAAGGAUGGUCUAUUGGUCUCUCUAUAUUUCCAUUAAAAGAAAGAAAUGGUUUUAAACUCAACUUAUAAGCAGUAUAUUGAUGUCUUUUUGUUCCCUUUUGUGAAGGAGUUAGCAAACAAACUCAAGACGAAUCAUUAUCUGAUGUCACUAUCCUUCAUGAGUCCGUCUUAUAUUUGUUAUUUAUUUUGGAUUUGCUUCACUCUCAAAGCCCUGGGCCUUGUCUUGUCUUGUUUUCAUUAUUUUUAAAGAUAGUAAUAGCUAGGGUUUUUCCUUCCUUAUUAACUAAGAAAAAUCGAAUUUACUCAGCCUAAAUGCAAAAGUUCUCUUGUUCAGAUUGGUUUUUCUUUUUCAUAUUUCCACUCCAACUAUGCUUUCUCUUCUUUAUGUAAUAUUUUUGUUUGCGCUUUGCAGUUAAGCUCUAGAAGACUAAAGCUCUUUUUAUCUAAAAGUAAGUGCUCUUUUGCCUCAGGUUAUCAUCUCCAACGAUCAACAGCAUGGAUCAAUGAAAAAUUUGUACCCACCAGCAACUUUCUUUCGCAGAAAAAUGCAGUCCAGAAGAGAUGGGCAUCUCAAGCUACAACAAGAGAAGAUGAUGGCAAGAUCAGCAUUGGACCCGGAAGAGGACAAGAAGCCGAGGAAGAUGAAAAAGAUGUUGCUUAUAUUGGGCCAAUCUCGUCAACUAUCAAAAAAGUCAAGCUUCUAUCUUUAUCUACAUGCUGCCUCUCUGUAUCACUCGGACCAGUCAUAACCUUCAUGACGUCCCCCGACAUGAAUGUGAUUCUGAAAGGUGUUGUUGCAUCAUCUGUGAUAUUCCUCAGUGCUACUACUACUGGAGCGCUUCACUGGUUCGUGAGCCCUUAUGUUCAUAAAAUUAGGUGGAAACCAGGUUCAGACAGUUUUGAGGUUGAGGUUAUGUCGUGGCUGGCGACUUACAUUCCACGAACCAUUAGAUUUGCUGAUAUUCGACCACCCGAAACAAACCGCCCCUUUGUGACAUUCAAGGCUAAUGGGAGUUUCUACUUCGUAGACAAAGAGCACUGUCAGAAUAAGGCACUCUUAGCCAGACUGACUCCUCAGCAACGCGAAUCAGCUCUUAGAAACUUAUGAUUGUCUUGGAGACUGACUUUUCUUUUUCUUCAUUGAGUUGAAGGCCAAUGAGAUGGCUGAACUGUUGUCAUAAAUCAUAUACUUUCACCAUAGACAAAUUGCUGCUCAUUGUACUGUUUAGAUCAAUUUUGGCAGAAUGGUUUUUUUAAAACACAAUAAUUCAUUCAUGUGUACAACCUUUGAUAACUGAUAGAUGAUACUACAUAACAUAUAUUACGUAGUUUGGAAUUUUAAAAAUAGUUUCUAUUAACAUAUUCUUUAUAUAUUUUUGAAAAGAUACUCACAUAGUAUAACUUUUCGUAAAUUUUUUUACUAUGUAAACCAUUUUUAUCCAAAUACUUCUUGGACUGAAUUUAAGAUUUGUUUAAAGUUUAGUGAUAAUGCAAUCUUAAUUCUUAACCUAAAAGUUCAAACUUUUUGUUGGUAGGAAGAUUUAAAUCCAAGAAACUAACUCCUUGUAUGAAAUUUAAAUCAACCAAAAGGGAAAAGGGAAAAAAAAUGUUAGAAUUAGAUUAUCUCUUUCCGGUAGGAUUUCAAACUUUGUUCCAUUCUACUGUCUCUCUACAAAUUUGAAGAAAAGUUGUUUGAAGAAAAGUUGUUCAAAUUUCUCAGAAAAAACCUCAAAGAAUGAGAGCUCAAAUUAGAUUAAUAAAAUCUUCGAUCAAGAUUAAAAGGAUGAAACAAUUGGUAUAUAGCAUUUUAUAGAGAUUGUAAUCUUUUCAAUCUAUAGACACAAAAUUCAAAAUAAAAUAUUAAAGAAAGAAGUUAUUUUCUAAAUCUCAAUCUUUUCAGCUACCAUCUUUAAUGUAUCUUCAUCUUUACAACCACUAUCUUUAAUGCAUCUUGCUCCAGAAACAUUAACUAAGUUAAAAUUGCUAAAGAAAUGUUAAGAAAACUAAUAACAGAAGUUAUCAACUUACGUUCGUUAAUUACAAUUGUGUCAUGAUACAUAUCAUCUGAUUUAGAAACUGAAUUUGAAUAACUAAACUAAAACUAUAGAAAAUUUAUUGAAAUUCACUAUUCUUUACUCUAAAAACGUCAAGUUGUUUUUUUGUUCAUCCAAAAUUACUUUUUUUUUUUCUUUACACCUAUCCAGACUAAUUUACAUAUACCACGACAAGUUUUCUUAGUCAAAACCCUACACAAUAUUUAGGUAACACAAAAACCUAGAAAAUAUUAAAACUUAGGUAAAUAGUCACAAAAGAUUGAAUCCAUACCGAUAGCCUUCUUACCAAAGUACAUGAAAAAUUGGCUCUUUUUUUCUAUUAUGCUAAUGGUUUAUUAUUCAUAUCAGGGUAGUGGCUCCGAAAUCAAGAAACCAACGUUGAUGAGGAUGAAAAGGGGAAGAGAGUUGAGUGAAAUGUGAGCACAAAGAGUGUGUUAAGGAUCCCGAAAUAGAGGGUUGUGAUGCGAGGAUUGUAGCAAUUAGAGAAAGUAGUGUGUCCAAAUCAGGUACAAAAUGAGGUUUAUUUGGUUUGGAAGACGACAAAAGAUUAUAGGGAUCGGAAUGGGGAAAGGAGAGGCAAGAUCAAUAGCAGGAGGCAAAGAAGAAGCAUAACUCAAUACAUUUGUGAUUUAGGGAAGAAGUUGUGAAGGUAGAGGUGAAUGUUGUAGAUUGGCCAAAUUGGAACGCACAUUAUAUGAACUUGCACGACGCUUCACCAGAAACGUAUGUAAGACCAUUGGAGCAGAAGUAGGUACCUGAACUUGCUCAUCUCAUGUCCCUUGUCUACUCGUUCAUAUAAAUUUCACGUAUUCACUUCAACAUAUCCGCUUUUGCAUUUUUAAUAUGAAUUUUAAGUAGUUUUAAAUAUAUAUAUAUACAAACUCAACAUAUUAAACAAUAACAAGAAACCCUAAACAUAAUUUUUUUAAACUCCACUUCACAACAAAAUUUUAAAACAAGAAAAGACCAACAAUAGUACACUUUAACAAUGGCAACUCCACUUUUGUUGCCAUUGCAAGUUGAGUUUAAGGUUCUUUUAAGCUUUUUGAUUCUUUCAAAAAAGAGAAAAAAUGGUUUUGAUGGGAAAUCAAUCAAGAAAUGGUCACAAAGGGGGGCCUUGACAAUAUACUCAAACAAAACAACGUAUAUAAGAAACAGAAACAAAGAUCAAUACCAGAAAAAAGUAGUUUGAAGUAAAACGAGCAUAGAACAUAUAACCUUAAUUAGGAAGGACUUGCCACCGCCGAUCAAGCACCCAAUUCUGAGAGAAUCUGCUUAACGACGAUGGAGGAAACUUAAAGACGCAACCAACGAAACAGAGACAAAACAAACCCCAACCAGAUAGUAAUUUAAUAAGAACCCACUCAUCAUUCUGACAAACUUCACCACAGCCAACGGCUACUCGUACCAUUCACUUCCCUGAUUUCUUUGCUGCAGACUUGGUGACCUUGGCGCCCGAUGCAUCCUUCUUCUCAACGGCCUUGAUGACACCAACAGCCACGGUUUGACGCAUGUCCCUCACGGCAAAUCGUCCAAGAGGGGGAUACGCAGAGAAUGUUUCCACCACCAUAGGCUUGGUGGGAAUCAUCUUAACAAAUCCAGCAUCUCCGUUCUUCAAAAACUUGGGCUCUUUCUCCAGUUCUUUACCAGAUCGCCUGUCAAUCUUAGUUAAAAUCUCGGCAAAUUUGACAGCAAUGUGAGAUGUGUGGCAAUCGAGUACAGGUGCAUAACCAUUUCCAAUCUGUCCUGGAUGGUUCAUGAUGAUAACUUGGGACGUGAAAUUGGCAGCUUCCUUGGCAGGAUCAUCCUUGGAAUUUGAGGCAACAUAACCACGCUUGAGAUCCUUCACAGCAACAUUCUUCACGUUGAACCCCACGUUGUCACCAGGGAGAGCUUCUUGGAGAGCUUCGUGGUGCAUCUCCACAGACUUAACUUCAGUAGUCAGUCCAGAUGGAGCAAAGGUUACCACCAUACCAGGCUUUAUAAUGCCAGUUUCAACACGACCCACUGGAACAGUUCCAAUACCUCCAAUCUUGUAGACAUCCUGAAGUGGAAGACGAAGGGGUUUGUCAGAUGGCCUCUUAGGCUCUUGGAUCAGAUCGAGAGCCUCAAGAAGGGUCGGUCCCUUGUACCAGUCGAGGUUGGUGGAUCUUUCAAUCAUGUUGUCACCCUCAAAGCCAGAGAUGGGGACGAAGGGAAUUUUUUCUGGGUUGUAGCCAACCUUCUUGAGGUAGGAAGAAACUUCCUUCACAAUUUCAUCGUACCUAGAUUUCGAGUACUUGGGCGUGGUGGCAUCCAUCUGUCACAUAAAUAGCCAAGUCAGUAAGUAACAAAACACGAAAAAACCAGAAUACUAAAGAAUCAGGAUUGACUAUAAACAUCAUUACCUUGUUACAGCAGCAAAUCAUUUGCUUGACACCAAGGGUAAAGGCAAGAAGGGCGUGUUCACGGGUCUGCCCAUCCUUAGAAAUACCAGCUUCAAAACCUCCAGUAGUGGAGUCGAUAAUAAGAACAGCACAGUCAGCCUGGGAAGUACCAGUAAUCAUGUUCUUGAUGAAAUCACGAUGCCCAGGGGCAUCAAUCACAGUGCAGUAAUACUUGGUGGUCUCGAACUUCCACAGAGCAAUAUCAAUUGUGAUACCACGCUCACGUUCGGCCUUAAGUUUGUCCAACACCCAGGCAUACUUGAACGAUCUCUUGUUCAUCUCAGCAGCUUCCUUCUCAAACCUCUCAAUAACACGCUUGUCAAUACCUCCAAGCUUGUAAAUCAAAUGGCCAGUAGUGGUCGACUUGCCAGAGUCGACAUGACCAAUGACCACAAUGUUGAUGUGAGUCUUUUCCUUACCCAUGCUUGAAUAUUAGGUCAAAGAACUGCGAAACAAGAAAAAGUUCACGAAAAAUAAGAAGAGCAAGAGCAGAUAACCAAAAUAUCAUUACUAAAAUUUGUGAAUAACCCUAAUUUUGUUAGAUUCACACAUCUAAAUAACGUUAAAAUUAAAAUAUCCACCACAAUAUCAACUCUUUUGGCUGGAAAACUUGUUGGUUAUAAAAAAAUGAUCGGAACUAGAACAGAGAAAAUAAAUAAAUAAAAAAAAACGAAAAACGACCAACCCAAUCAGCUAGACUAGAUUAAAAGCAGAUCUACGCGAUUGGCAGAACGACAGGGGACGUCUCGAUAGAUUGAUGAACAGAUACAUAAAACUAGCAUAAAAACAAAAGGGCAGGGACAAGAAGAAGAACAGAAGAAAUUAUAAUUCAUGCUAGGAUCUAGACGAGAAAAACAGUAAAAGCUAAAGAAAUAAGAGAGUAUCAAGCAUAUAGAAGAAAGAAAUCGAGAAAAGGAAGAAGAUAGGGGGAAAGCACAACCUGAGGAGAAAUGCUGCUGUUAAACCCUUGCGGCGAGAGAUGGAGAAUGGCAAUGGGAUUGAAGGGGUUAACAAUAGGGUUUGAGGAUCCUUAUAUAUGCAAUGUCUGAAUUCCUUUGUUGACGAAAAUACCCUUAUCAUAAUUUCAACAUUCCUACACAGUGGCUCUCAACAAUAAAAGAUUUUCGAAUUUACCUACUAGAUUCCAAAUAAAAUAAAGUAACAUUUUAGAAUAUAGUAAAAUUUGUCAAAUUCUAUCAAUGAUAUAAAUGUAUCAACGAUAGACAUGUUACAAAUAUUAGUCUAUCACUAAUAGACCAUACGAAGUCUAUAGUUUUGUUAUAUUUGCAAUUUUUUAAAAAUGUUAAUAUAUUAUUAAUUACUAUUCAUAAAAUGAUCAUCAACUACGAUUUUUAAAAAAAGUUCUUUUUUUCUCAACUUUCCAUUUCAAGUUAAAGGUUUAAAAAAUAUCAUCAAAACUCUUGGAAAGGUUAAAAAACAUGUUUAAAAAAUAUAACUAUUAAAAGUUUCAAAAAUUCCCUUGAAUUUAAAAAAUGUUAAAGGAAAAACUUUCUUAAAAUGUAAUAUGAACUAAAAGUGUAAUAUCUCGCUAAAAAAUAACUUUAAAUUAAAAAUGUCUUUAUCGUUAAUACAUUGAAAAUUUUAUUUGAAUUUGUUAAGUUUGAUUAGAUUGACAAAUAUUUGUUUUAUGGCUUUAGAUAUAAAAAUUGUGACAUUGAUGUUAUUUUUAAAAAAUGGAUGAUCUACCAAAAUGUUGAUUAUCCAAUAUACUUUUCCUACGAGUAGUUGUGUUUUCAAUUUCUCAUGUUGGCAUCUUCCUUUAUGUAGCGUGUAGUUGCUUUGGAGGUUAGGGUUGCUUAUUUGUGAUUUCACUGUGCAUAUUUCAAGGACACUUAGUUCUAAGGUUUGGGUUUUGGCGGUUUAGUUUGUUUUAAUAGCAACAUUUGUAUUGUCUUUAUGUAGUAUUUUCAGCUUGUGUUAGAAGAAGAGAGUGCUACGUGUAUUUGAGGCAUACUCCAUUCUCCCUACUACUGUGCAUUGUGAUGUACUGAGAAGAGAUUAUUUAUGUUUAGGGGAUCUUAAAUAUACCAACGAGAUAUUAACAGUUUCAAAUAAAUUUAUUACUAUACUAACGAUAGAGAUAUUUUUAAUUAUUUAGAGUUAGUUUUUGCAACGAGAUAUUAACAAUUUUAGAUCAUAUACUAAUUGUGAGAGUAAAUUUAAAAGAAUAUAUAAUUUAAGGGUGUUUUUUAAAUUUUUCAAUAAUUGAGGAAUAUUUUUAACAAAACUUUAACCUUCUACAUCCAAAACUAACAUUAAGGGUAUUUUCGAACCCUUUUCGAAAGUUUGAGAGUAUUUUUUAAACUGUUGAAAGUUUAGGGGUAUUUUUUACUCAAAAUACAAAAUUGGGGGGUGUUUUUUUUACAAUUUAGCGUUUUUUUUGUGUUUUUUCUAGGCCAAUAUCAAUUUAUACCUCUGAACUUUAGAUGUUGUAUCAAUUUAAACUUUGAACUUUCUUAUAUGCAUCAAUUUAAACUCUCAACUUUCACAAAUGUGUCCAAGUAAAACAUAAUGGACGAUUUAAAAUGAUUCAUGUUAUAAGUGUAAAGUCUAAAUUGAUACAAUUAAUAGUUUAGGGUCUAUAUUGAUACAAAUUUUAAAGUUGAGAGUUUAAAUUAAUACAAUUAUUAGUUUAAGGUUUAAAGUUCAUUGAUAUAAAUUGAAAUUAGCCCAAUUUUUUUUUAAAAAAAAACUUUAAACUAAUUAAAACUACGAGCCACUACCGUGAAGGCAUAAGUGAACCAAAGUAGGAAAGAUCAAGCCUAAGUUUUUCAAUGACUGACUCAACUUUGAAUCACUCUACUUUGUGGUACAGUCAACUCUUCCCUUUUUUAUUGAGUCAAGUUAAGUCGAAGCAACGAGACCUAGUGUCAUGCCCUACUCCAAAUGACUCUUCAUGCGACCAAGUGGAGGCAUGUCGCCUAGACAAUCAAUGCACAACUUCUGCGAGAUGGUACGCUAAACACCUAGUAAGCGGAACUACUUCUUACAGCACAAGGUUAAGCGCACAAUUUGUACUUUAAUGAAACAAGAGAACUUCAUUGAUAGACAAUUUACAAGAGUACAUUUGAUUCCUAUUACACAAAUCGUUCAAAAGAGGACACAGACUCAACAACGACUUGACUUUUCCCCACUUAGCUUCUACAUGCUACACGAGAUAAUAGUAGCCACUACCAAGACAAUGUGAUUUAGGAGGUACGGUAGACGAUCAAGACAGCAAAUUCUAUGUCAGAUGUCCUUUGCUACCUAAGGGGGAUGAAAUAAACAUUAGAAGGGUUGGGCGAAAAUGUCUAGUGAAUGGAAUCUCUUAACAGAUGUUUUAUGUAAAUUAAUCGUUUUUUUACCAGAUAAUCAGCUCCAGAACAGGUAUUAUAGCAAAAUGUGUCGAAUGUCAUUUAUCUCUUACAACACUACUCCGAAGAAAGAAUUUAUUUAAAACAAUAUAAUAGUGUUAAUAAUAAAAAAGAUCAAGAUUGAGGAUAAACACAUUACCUUCGUCAUUUUAUGAGUUUUGUCCUCCCACGUUAUGCAAACUUGUUGGAAGCUUUGGCAAUAGUUGUGGCUGAAUGUUGAAGCAAUCAUUCAAGUACAAUGCUAUUAAGUUAGUAAGUCGAGGGAGGCUUUGUUUGAGCCUUACAAAAGAAUUCUUGCUAAGGUCAAGAAUUUCCAAUAAGAAAAGACAUUUGAUAUCAUCACGAAUAUCUUCGUCCACAAUAUUGCAAUCACUUAGAUUCAAAUCUCUAAUAGGCAAAACAUCAUUACUCCCAACCAAAUCAUUCAAUGACCACCAAAUAUUUUUUGAAAGCCUUUCACAAUUCAAAGUUUCAAGACUCUUUAAACGAGCGAUAGCAUUUGGUGCUUGAUCUAUAAAUGUUCCUCCAUUGUCAAGCAUGGUAAGAGAUUGUAUUGUCCCCAAAGUGAAAGGAAAUUUGGUGGAGGUUUUUGCAGCCAUUCAAAUUGAGAGUUUGAAGUGAUAUCAAUUUUCAAAUUGAUGUUGGAAGACUUGAUAGCUUAGUACAAUCCCUUAGGUUCAAUUAAGUUAAGUGAGCUAGAAGUCCAAAUGAUGAAGGAAGGUCUUGUAUAAGAGUUCCAUCAAGGUGAAGUUCAGUUAAAGUUUUGGUUGGUUUUUCAAUCUUUGGUAAAGAUUUAAGGCAUAAAUUGGAAAGAAUUAAUGUUUGGAAUCUUUUGCAAGUUACUAGUUUAGAUGGAAAUGUUUUGAGAUUGACACAAUUUGCCAUAUGAACUAAAACAAGAUGGUUGAGAGUAGUAAUGGAAGAAUGAAUCACACACAAUCUUGCACAAUUCCUUGACAUCAACCUUUGGAGAUUUGGAAGCUUGGGUCUCAACCAAAUUCUGUGAUCCACUCACAUCAAACUCUUUCAACCUACUAAAUUCAUGUGGAAAACAAGUCCACACCAUCACAUUAGAUACCACUCUACUUCUCAAAUUCUUACCCAAAAAUAAAAGGAGAGUUGAAAAUUUGGUCAUUUGAAAAAGAGGAAGAAAAAUUCUUGAGAGAGAGUCGACUGAGAAAGUUGUUUAGAGAGAAUCUCUACAAGGAAUUUUUUUUUGAAGCAAAUAUUCCCAAUGUAGGUUUUAUUUAUUCACUUUAUUACUAUAUUUAUUUUUUUUCUUUAUCCUAAACAAUUUAAUCAAUGGAAAAUUUAGUUGAAUAGUGCAUUUGGCUCGGAUUUAUUUCCAAGAAUUCAUACCUCAUACGACAAGUCUUUCGGAUUUGAAUCAUUGUUUUUUUCUCUUUCUAAAGGUUGUGAGAGAAUUUAUUUUCUCUCGCUACUUUUUUGUAUAGUUAUUUCUUUUUCUAAAAAGACAAAUCUUUAGUCUUUUUCUUCUCACUAACAAAAAUAGAGAGAAAGAAAAGUGUUUUGUUUUUUAAUUUUUAACUAUCAUAUAUUUGUUUAAAAUAAUAUUAAAAACAUGACAUUAAUAUAAUUGUGAGAGUAAGAUCAACAAAGUAAAUACAAUAUCAAAUUUGGUCCUAACCUACUAUAAAUUAAUAAAUCCAUAUCCUAAUUUUGGUAGAUAAAAAUAAAUCCUACUCAAAUCUUUUAUAAUGAUUUCAUAUGAGUUAUCUAAUAAAUGCUAAUUACUUCUUCUCUAAUAUUCAAUUUUCUUAUUAUACUUAGACAUUACUAAUGUAAAGUGAGGGUGGUACGUUUCCUUUGACCAAAAUUUGAUAUCAUAUGCAUGUUACAUAUACGUGUGUGCAACAUGUAGAGAGUAGUGAAGGGGUGAACAUAGAUAUUGGGGAGAGAUCUACACAAUCAUGUACCAAAUUUAAAUGAUCCUGGUAAACGAUUGUUUAUAUUCGUAAGGAAAGAGAAAUGACAUGAUACUGGAGAUGACGCCGAAGGUAAGAUAUGACAAAGAAUAAAAAAAUUAUGGAAGAGUCACGAAGAAAUUAUGAAUAAGAAGAUGUGGGAAUAUGGAGAAUGAUUAGGACUAUGAUAUAUGAUACCUAAUAAUAUAAAAAAAAUGUGCAAGCAUAACUCGAAAUUCAAAACUAAUAAAGGUAAAUCUAGAUUUUUUUUGUUACACGGAUCAUAAAUAUUUUUUAGUUUUGUUAUAUAUAUGUGUGUUUAAUUAACCAUUUUUUAUUUAUUCAAUCUAAUUUAAUUUUUGUUUUCAUAUGAUUUUUUUUAUUAAUUCAAAUUUUAUUCUAGUGUUUUUUUUAAUAAUUAUAUAUAUAUAUAUAUAUAUAUAUAUAUAUAUAUAUAUAUGACAACAAAUAUGUGUCAUUUAUAUUGUUCACAAAUGACCUUCUCAUUAACCUCUAUGUGAAAACCUAAAUCACUUAUAUGUGACUCUGCCUUCUAGCCAUCGAUCUAUUUUGCUACUUUGGUGAGUAUUCGAUUAAGUUUUGGUACUUCCAUCAAAUAUCUCAAAUAUCUAUUUUUUUUUAAUUAUCCCAAAAAGUUGAUCUGAUUUUAACCAAAAUUGUAAAUCCCAAAAAGUUGAUUGAUUUUAACCAAAAUUGUUGAUUGAGUUAACUAAGCUAAGACGCAUAACUUGAUUGAUAUGAAUGAUUGAAAUGUUAUGACAAAUGAUAUAUUAAUCACAUGACAACGACGUUCCGAUUGAUAUUUAUGUCAUGUUAUAAUAUGUUACAUGUUAUGGACAAGUGUUCUACUAACUUUAUCUAAUUACAAGUAAUUCCUAAAAAUUUACGGUCUUCAAUUAAUACAAAAUAAAUAAAUUACAACGAUUAAUAUCGAUAAAUUAAAAAUUAAUGAAAACAUAGAUUUUAAAAUUAAAAAAAAGGUUGAAAGAUAGAUUAGUAUUAAAUUAAAAAUGAAAGAAUUUAGUUUUUAAAAAUGAAAAAUAAAAUUCAAAAUGAAUAAAGAUUAAAAAAAAGUAUAAUUUAGUUUUUAAGAAUAAAAUUAAAAUUCACAAAGAUAAAAAGAUUACAUGAAUUUUUAUUAAAAAAGUACAAUUUAGUUUUCAGAAAUGAAAAUUAAGAUUCAAAUAGAAUAAAGAUACAAAAAUUAUAUAAAAAAUAAAGAAAAAAAAGUUGAUUUAGUUUUUUUAAAAAAUCAAAUUGGAAAAAGAAAAUAUAUAUAGAGAGAGGUCCACAAAUUCUUUUAUAAACAAAAAUUAUAGAGUUUGAUAAUCUAAAUAAAUUAGGAACUAAUACACAUUCAAGAAGAUUAUAUUACAAAAAAUAUAUAGUUAAUUUUAAGUUUUAGGUAAAAGUAAUAAAUUGAAUAAAAUUUCAAGUAAAUAUUCAAAUAUUAAAAAUUUAAAUUUUAAAUAUACACGUGCAAUUAAAGACUAGUAAAUAUUCAAAUACUAAACACCCAUAUUUCAUUUGGAUUCAUAAGUAAAGUGUGUAAGAAAAAUUAUGAAGGCAAUGAGAAAGGAAUUGGUAAAUAAUGUGUUGAAACAAAAACGAUAAAUGUAUUAAGCAAUAAAUAAGAACUCAUAACAAGUCGUUUGAAAUAAAACAGCCAUAAAACAUAGAAAUUUCAAAGAUAAAAAUGGAAGACUUGCCACCGCCGAUCAAGCACCCAAUUCUGCGAAAAGCUACUCACCGACCAUGGAGGAAACUUGAAGACAUAACCAACCAGACACACACAACACACAACCCAACAACCACAGAACGUAUUAAUAAGCUUCCAGUCAUCAUGAUGAUUAACAUCAAGCCGUUGGCCGCCAACGGCUACUCGCACCAUUCACUUCCCUGAUUUCUUUGCUGCAGACUUGGUGACCUUGGCGCCGGAUGCAUCCUUCUUCUCAACGGCCUUGAUGACACCAACAGCCACAG
rnacentral:lncRNA from 1 species